rnacentral:rRNA from 1 species
GACGAACGCUGGCGGCGUGCCUAAUACAUGCAAGUCGAGCGAAUCUUAAGGAGCUUGCUCCUUUUGGUUAGCGGCGGACGGGUGAGUAACACGUGGGCAACCUGCCUGUAAGACUGGGAUAACUUCGGGAAACCGGAGCUAAUACCGGAUAAUCCUUUUCCUCUCAUGAGGAAAAGCUGAAAGUCGGUUUACGCUGACACUUACAGAUGGGCCCGCGGCGCAUUAGCUAGUUGGUGAGGUAACGGCUCACCAAGGCGACGAUGCGUAGCCGACCUGAGAGGGUGAUCGGCCACACUGGGACUGAGACACGGCCCAGACUCCUACGGGAGGCAGCAGUAGGGAAUCUUCCGCAAUGGACGAAAGUCUGACGGAGCAACGCCGCGUGAGCGAUGAAGGCCUUCGGGUCGUAAAGCUCUGUUGUUAGGGAAGAACAAGUACCGGAGUAACUGCCGGUACCUUGACGGUACCUAACCAGAAAGCCACGGCUAACUACGUGCCAGCCGCCGCCGUAACAC